GGUGCAAACGUUGCUCGGAAUCAUUGGGCGUAAAGCGCACGUAGGCGGCCUCGCAAGUCUGAUGUGAAAUCCCUCGGCUCAACCGAGGACGUGCAUCGGAAACUGCGGGGCUUGAGUACUGAAGAGGAUCGCGGAAUUCCCGGUGUAGAGGUGAAAUUCGUAGAUAUCGGGAGGAACACCAGUGGCGAAGGCGGCGAUCUGGGCAGAUACUGACGCUGAGGUGCGAAAGCGUGGGGAGCAAACAGG
rnacentral:rRNA from 1 species